AGAUUGAACGCUGGCGGCAUGCCUAACACAUGCAAGUCGAACGGGAGUAGCAAUACUCUAGUGGCGGACGGGUGAGGAAUACGUAGGAAUUUGCCCUUAAGUGGGGGAUAACCCGGGGAAACCCGGAUUAAUACCGCAUGACCUCGAAAGAGCAAAGUGGGGGAUCGCAAGACCUCACGCUUUUGGAGAAGCCUACGUCGGAUUAGCUAGUUGGUGAGGUAAUGGCUCACCAAGGCGACGAUCCGUAACUGGUCUGAGAGGAUGAUCAGUCACACCGGAACUGAGACACGGUCCGGACUCCUACGGGGAGGCAGCAGGUGGGGAAUAUUGGACAAUGGG
rnacentral:rRNA from 1 species